rnacentral:tRNA from 1 species
ACGCCUGUCUUGUAAACAGGAAAUCCUGGGUUCGAUCCCCAGUGGUGCCU